rnacentral:tRNA from 1 species
GCCGGAGUGGCGGAAUGGUAGACGCGUCGGAUUCAAAAUCCGAUGUUCGGAAGAAUGUGUGGGUUCGAGUCCCACCUCCGGUA